rnacentral:lncRNA from 1 species
UGCAUAUGUAUAUGGGUAUUUAUGUGUACAAAUGUAUAUAUGUGUAGGCCUGUGUUUCCGUUUGUAGGUUUAUCUGAAGUGGGCGAUCGACAGCUGUGGUGGAGCGAUGGAGUGUUUGUGUGUGUGGAGGCGCGUCUAGACAUGAAAACGAAGGUGGAACGUGCUUGGCCCCCAGGAGCAUUUCAAGGCGAAUCGCCGUUCUUCGUCCUUCGACUGGUUUUUCCACCUCGAGUGCAUGCGGUCACGGAACGCUGUGGCUUCGUCGUUUAUUGGGGGGGGCAUAUUUGUUUUACGCGGACCCCCCACCACCACGAGUGGAGAACACCUCGUCCCUCAUCGAUGCGAGCACUGAAAGGCUCCUUAAUCUCUCGUUCCGCGCUUCCCCUCUCCCGCCCUCACUCUCUCGUCUGCUCGCCGUCUCUCCUUAACUCGUGAUAUCUCGUCUCUCCUCGCUUCUUCCCUCGUUCACUCGUGUUCACUCUUCUCUUCCCGGAUGUCAUGCGAGUCUCUCCUUCGCUUAUGCGUGCUUCGUGUCUUCUGUUCUCUUCUUCUCUCUCUGUUUCUCUUGUUCUCCUGUCAGUCGUCCUUGUGCGACGGCGCUCGGCGCUGUCUCCGUCCUUUCCUCGUCCUUCGCAGGCAGCAGCGUCGUCGCAACGUCGCUAUCUUGUACGCAGACAUGGUCGGCA